GACGAACGCUGGCGGCGUGCUUAACACAUGCAAGUCGAACGGAAAGGCCCUGCUUUUGUGGGGUGCUCGAGUGGCGAACGGGUGAGUAACAAGUGAGUAACCUGCCCUUGACUUUGGGAUAACUUCAGGAAACUGGGGCUAAUACCGGAUAGGAGCUCCUGCUGCAAGGUGGGGGUUGGAAAGUUUCGGCGGUUGGGGAUGGACUCGCGGCUUAUCAGCGUGUUGGUGGGGUAGUGGCUUACCAAGGCUUUGACGGGUAGCCGGCCUGAGAGGGUGACCGGCCACAUUGGGACUGAGAUACGGCCCAGACUCCUACGGGAGGCAGCAGUGGGGAAUAUUGCACAAUGGGCGGAAGCCUGAUGCAGCAACGCCGCGUGCGGGAUGACGGCCUUCGGGUUGUAAACCGCUUUCGCCUGUGACGAAGCGUGAGUGACGGUAAUGGGUAAAGAAGCACCGGCUAACUACGUG
rnacentral:rRNA from 1 species